UCUGAGAUUGAGUUCUGUUCUGUCUGAUCGAUACUCAAGAGUGCGAAAGGUUGUGAAGAAGAAGAUGAAGCUAACGGUGGAACAAGAACCCUAAGAAACGAUCUCGUUUAGCUUUACGGAACAUCCUGGAUGUUCCUUCCUUCGGGGAAGAAAGCUCCAGAGACCAAAUCUCAGCGCCAAGAAGAUGAUUUAGAGGUUGGAGGGAUUCACUCGCAAAAUCAGGAAAGACUCGAUCUCGAAGCGUAGAAGCUCGCAGAGUCGUUUAGAGCUCAAGGAGACAAGCUCGCUGAGAAAUCGUUGGUGGCAUGAUCAAAACCAUCUACAACGAUGAAACUCAGACUAUUCAGCGAGUGAUGUUAAGAAUCUUAAUCGGCAGGAGCAAUUCUUCAUUAUAAAAAUCAAAAGAGGUUACAACUUGAUCGUUUAAAUUGUUUCCUACCAAGGAUCAAUGGAUCAUGCUGCAAAAUACAUAUGCACAGGUGAUUUUAUCCUUACACAAAACUUUUACCAUAACAAGUCUAAAAUGUUUCUCUUACAGUUCCCUGAUUCCUUGCAUAGCAUAUACUCUGUUUUCUUUGUGUGUAUGUAGCUAUACUCAGUUCAGCGAAGUGGACAGAGCAGAGUAUCAGUCCAGCACGACAGCUACUCGACAAUGGAACUCAGGUUAUUAAUCUAUUUCAAAUUCCAGAGACUCAUCCUAAAGGCAAAUACUUAUAGCAGUGUAAUAAGAACAAAUGUAAUUCACUCAUCGUGUAAUUUAGGCGCAGAGUGGAACUUGUACAGUGUAAUAAGAACAACAAAUAGAAGAUUGUUCUUUCCUCAAAA